UACAGAGGUCUCAAGCGUUGUUCGGAUUCAUUGGGCGUAAAGGGCGCGUAGGCUGCGGGGCAAGUCGGGUGUGAAAUCUCAGAGCUCAACUCUGAAACUGCAUUCGAUACUGCCGUGCUUGAGGACUGGAGAGGAGACUGGAAUUUACGGUGUAGCGGUGAAAUGCGUAGAUAUCGUAAGGAAGACCAGUGGCGAAGGCGGGUCUCUGGACAGUUCCUGACGCUGAAGCACGAAGGCCAGGGGAGCAAACGGG
rnacentral:rRNA from 1 species